GAUGAACGCUGGCGGCGUGCCUAAUACAUGCAAGUCGAGCGAACAGACGAGGAGCUUGCUCCUCUGACGUUAGCGGCGGACGGGUGAGUAACACGUGGAUAACCUACCUAUAAGACUGGGAUAACUUCGGGAAACCGGAGCUAAUACCGGAUAAUAUAUUGAACCGCAAGGUUCAAUAGUGAAAGACGGUUUUGCUGUCACUUAUAGAUGGAUCCGCGCCGCAUUAGCUAGUUGGUAAGGUAACGGCUUACCAAGGCAACGAUGCGUAGCCGACCCGAGAGGGUGAUCGGCCACACUGGAACUGAGACACGGUCCAGACUCCUACGGGAGGCAGCAGUAGGGAAUCUUCCGCAAUGGGCGAAAGCCUGACGGAGCAACGCCGCGUGAGUGAUGAAGGUCUUCGGAUCGUAAAACUCUGUUAUUAGGGAAGAACAAAUGUGUAAGUAACUAUGCACGUCUUGACGGUACCUAAUCAGAAAGCCACGGCUAACUACGUG
rnacentral:rRNA from 1 species